rnacentral:rRNA from 1 species
UGGGGAAUUUUGGACAAUGGGCGCAAGCCUGAUCCAGCCAUGCCGCGUGCGGGAAGAAGGCCUUCGGGUUGUAAACCGCUUUUGUCAGGGAAGAAAUCUUCUGAGUUAAUACCUCGGGAGGAUGACGGUACCUGAAGAAUAAGCACCGGCUAACUACGUGCCAGCAGCCGCGGUAAUACGUAGGGUGCAAGCGUUAAUCGGAAUUACUGGGCGUAAAGCGUGCACAGGCGGUUUUGUAAGACAGAGGUGAAAUCCCCGGGCUCAACCUGGGAACUGCCUUUGUGACUGCAAGGCUUGAGUGCGGCAGAGGGGGAUGGAAUUCCGCGUGUAGCAGUGAAAUGCGUAGAUAUGCGGAGGAACACCGAUGGCGAAGGCAAUCCCCUGGGCCUGCACUGACGCUCAUGCACGAAAGCGUGGGGAGCAAACAGGAUUAGAUACCCUGGUAGUCCACGCCCUAAACGAUGUCAACUGGUUGUUGGGAAGGUUCCUUCUCAGUAACGUAGCUAACGCGUGAAGUUGACCGCCUGGGGAGUACGGCCGCAAGGUU